rnacentral:rRNA from 1 species
AUUGAACGCUGGCGGCAGGCCUAACACAUGCAAGUCGAGCGGAGCGGCGGACGGGUGCGUAAUGACUAGGAAUCUGCCUGGUAGUGGGGGCUAACGUCCGGAAACGUGCGCUAAUACCGCAUACUAUCAGAUGAGCCUAGGUUGGAUUAGCUAGUUGGUGGGGUAAAGGCCUACCAAGGCGACGAUCCGUAACUGGUCUAAGAGGAUGAUCAGUCACACUGGGACUGAGACACGGGCCAGACUCCUACGGGAGGCAGCAGUGGGGAAUAUUGCACAAUGGGCGCAAGCCUGAUUCAGCCAUGCCGCGUGAAUGAAGAAGGCCGUCGGGUUGUAAAGUACUUUCAGCGGGGAGGCGUUACCCGCAGAAGAAGCACCGGCUAACUCCGUGCCAGCAGCCGCGGUAAUAC